rnacentral:rRNA from 1 species
GGAAUUUUGGGCAAUGGGCGAAAGCCUGACCCAGCAACGCCGCGUGAGUGAUGAAGGCCUUCGGGUUGUAAAACUCUUUUGCAGGGGAAGAUGAUGACGGUACCCUGCGAAUAAGCCACGGCUAACUACGUUCCAGCAGCCGCGGUAAUACGUAGGUGGCGAGCGUUGUCCGGAUUUACUGGGCGUAAAGGGCGUGCAGGCGGCCGGUUAAGUCUAGGGUGAAAGCUCCCGGCUCAACUGGGAGAGGUCCUUGGAUACUGGCGGGCUUGAGGGAGGCAGAGGAAAGUAGAAUUCCCAGUGUAGUGGUGAUAUGCGUAGAUAUCGGGAGGAAUACCAGUGGCGAAGGCGGCUUUCUGGGCCUUACCUGACGCUGAGACGCGAAAGCGUGGGGAGCGA